GACGAACGCUGGCGGCGUGCUUAACACAUGCAAGUCGAACGGUAAGGCUCCAGCUUGCUGGGGUACACGAGUGGCGAACGGGUGAGUAACACGUGGGUGACCUGCCUGCCCUUUCGGAUAAGCCCGGGAAACUUGGUCUAAUACCGGAUAAGACCAUUGUGUUGAUACUGUUGUUGAAAGUUUUUUCGGUGUGGGAUGGGCCCGCGGCCCAUCAGCUUGUUGGUGGGGUAAUGGCCUACCAAGGCGGCGACGGGUAGCCGGCCUGAGAGGGUGGACGGCCACAUUGGGACUGAGACACGGCCCAGACUCCUACGGGAGGCAGCAGUGGGGAAUAUUGCACAAUGGGCGGAAGCCUGAUGCAGCGACGCCGCGUGGGGGAUGACGGCCUUCGGGUUGUAAACUCCUUUCACCAUCGACGAAGGGUUUCUGACGGUAGAUGGAGAAGAAGCACCGGCUAACUACGUG
rnacentral:rRNA from 1 species